rnacentral:rRNA from 1 species
AUGAACGCUAGCUACAGGCUUAACACAUGCAAGUCGCGGGGCAGCAUGGGGGUUGCUUGCAAUCCCCGAUGGCGACCGGCGCACGGGUGAGUAACGCGUAUCCAACCUGCCCUUCACCACGGGAUAACCCGGCGAAAGUCGGACUAAUACCGUAUGUUGUCCAUUGACGGCAUCCGAUUUGGACGAAAGGCUUGGCGGUGAGGGAUGGGGAUGCGUCCGAUUAGCCAGACGGCGGGGUAACGGCCCACCGUGGCUACGAUCGGUAGGGGUUCUGAGAGGAAGGUCCCCCACACUGGAACUGAGACACGGUCCAGACUCCUACGGGAGGCAGCAGUGAGGAAUAUUGAUCAAUGGGCGUAAGCCUGAACCAGCCAAGUAGCGUGCAGGAUGACGGCCCUAUGGGUUGUAAACUGCUUUUAUGCGGGGAUAAAGUGGCCCACGUGUGGGCUUUUGCAGGUACCGCAUGAAUAAGGACCGGCUAAUUCCGUG